UACGUAGGUGGCAAGCGUUGUCCGGAUUUAUUGGGUUUAAAGGGCAUGCAGGCGGUCCGACACGUUUUGUGUGACAGCGGGUGGCUUAACUACCCGAGGAUACGAAAGACGGUUGGACUUGAGGACUCGAGAGGGACACGGAAUUCCGGGUGGAGUGGUGAAAUGCGUAGAGAUCCGGAGGAACACCGAAGGCGAAGGCAGUGUCCUGGCGAGUGACUGACGCUGAGGUGCGAAAGCCAGGGGAGCGAACGGG
rnacentral:rRNA from 1 species